GUGUGUGACCCCAUAGGUUCUAUUCUGACUGGUAGUAAGAUAUAUCAUGAUCUCUAUCAUAAUAUCAUUGAAAACUCCUUUCAAUGGAUUGGAACGAUUCCAACUCUACUCAUUAGGAUUUUAUCGAUCAUCGAGAUAAUUCCUGUGAGUCCCACCAUCCACCAGUGACACCUAGCAGCAUGUAGUGGCUACCCAGUAGAAUAGAAUGAUGAACCUCUACGUGCAGUUAUCGUGUGAUACAGUCCUACUAUCGUGGAUCCCUACAGGAUGGAGGUCAUGGAUAACUCGUCAAACCCCUUCGUCUGUCAUAUGUCCAGAUUUAUUUGACUCGAGUUCGUUAGUGGAAAACUCUUUUUCCACUUUAUAUUACUGCCCUAGCCAAGGUCUUAGAACUCAGUCUAACAAAUCACAUAGGAUCACUCCUCUUCUAUCAAGGUCGAUAGAUUCCAUGUAAGUG
rnacentral:lncRNA from 1 species